rnacentral:pre_miRNA from 1 species
UCUUUUGUCCUUGGUUUUGUGUAGUAGAAAAUGCCCACUUCAUUUUUCUAUUGCACAAAACCAAGGAGAAAUGUACACAUA